CUUUGUUACUUUCCAGUUCCUAGGUUAUUUCCAAUUACAUAAUUUUGUUUUUAUUCUCAGUCAUUAACAGAUUUAUAAUUGUCUUUUUUUAGUAACUAUUGAAAUUACAGAGUAUAGCUUUUGCUCUGCAUUGGUUAUCUCUGGUUAAAGUCUUGUGGAGUUUUGUGUGGUUUUACCUUACAGGAUCCUAAGGGGGAAAAAGAAGUAUCCUACAAUAUAAAAAGCAGACUUUGAAAACAUUAUCUUAGUACUGGUUCCCUUAAACAUUAUGGUAAGUCAGAGGAGGGAGAUUUAAGAUGGUUGGAUGUCUUUUUUGGAACAUACCAGACUAAAUGUUAUGAAUCAGAUAAGAGAGUGCAAUUUAUGGUUUGGGGGUAAAGGGUCGGAAGAUAGAAUAGGAAAGAGAUAAGGUAAAAGUGUCCAAAUAAAAACAAACUCUGAAUACUCUUAGAAUGGAAUAAAGUCACUCUUUAGGUAAACAACUAUUUCUUGGGGAACACUGAUGUUUGUGUGUCUUGUGAAAUAUUUGAAGCUUAAUUUUAUGGUUUUUUUUUUUUUAAGUUUAUUUAUUUUGAGAGAGAGAUAGAGCAUGAGCUAGGGAGGGCAGCAAGGGAGAAUCCCAAGCAGGCUCCACACUGUCAGUGCAGAGCCUGAUAAGGGGCUCGAUCACGUGAACCGUGAGACCAUGACCUGAACCAAAAUCAAGAGUCAGACCCUUAACUGACUUAAGCACCCACGCGCCCCUUAAAUUUAUAAUGUUGACAAUAGUGAGCCAUUAUCAGGAUUUAAAGGGUGACUGUAGUAUUGUUUAUACAUUUGAUUACUUUCCUGGUUACUAAGAUUCAUACUCAACUGCAGUAGUCUAGACCAAAUUUUCAGUAUUUUAUAUAAUCAGAACUAUUUAAGCUUCUAAGGAGUCUUCAAACUUAUCUAGGCCCAAACCUCAUUUUAAAAGUAGGAAAACUAAUACCCAUAAAGUUUACUUGCUUGCUUUAGAUUAGAGGAAAACUAGGAUUAGAAAUCACUUUUCUUUUUAAUGAUCUGUUGGUUAAGUUUUAUAUAUGUUAUUAUGGUCUGUGGCAUAGGAUUUCAUAAGUUAAUAUCAGAAAUGACUAAUAUCAUUAAUGUUUGUGUAUGUUGCUACCUUAUUAUACCGGUACGCGUUUUAAUUCACCAGCAAAUACAGAUUUACUACCUUCAGUUUAUUUAAGCAAUCUAUUUUAUUUGCAUAAUAUGUUCUGGACAGUGUAUCAGGUAUUGGUAUAUACUGAGUCUUAUGUUGAUUAAAGUGAAGGAAAGGGGUAGGAAGUGCUUAUGGCACAUCCGAUUCUCAAGAAGCUCUCAAAAUCCUCAUUUAUAGAAUCAGGAUUAUUGAAGUAACUACAUGGCAUUUCUGUGUGAAGUAAAGGAGAUAGCACACAAAAAGCAUCUGGUCCUCCCCAAAGGCAAUUGUGUUUAUUUUCCCAUCAGUUCUUCAUAUUUACCUUUCCCCCUUUCCACAUGCUUGUGUGGAUAUGUGGAAUUGUGCAGAUCUAGAGCCCAUUUCUUGCUUGCAUUUAUUUAGCCGUGUGCUUUUUAAGAAGCUACUAUUACGAACAUGUUUUUUGCUGUAGUUUGUCUCAUAGACGAGAAUCCAAAAUAUCUAGAUUUGAAGUCACAUUCUCAAGUUCUGUGAUCUGGAUCAUUAAGUGCCAGCUUCUCUUUUCUGACUUUAUUAUGGGAAGAGAUUCAUACUUUCCGCACAUCAGAGGGGUGUUGGGUGAGAAAAUGAAGUAUUUCCAAAUCUGUUUGUUGGAAAAUAAGGGAAGGCCAUCUUUACUCUUUACCUCUCUAUUAUAUACAUGUAUUUAUGAAGCAAAAUACAUUUGUGUUAAAGCACAUUUAUAGGAAACAAAUUGUUUAUUGCAGGUAACAUUUUAGCUUUUAUUUAUUGUAGGCUUUUUUUCCUAACCUGUUUCCAUCCUUGAUGUAGCAUUCCGUGUUACUUCCUUCAAAGCAGCUAGUCUAUUCAACACAUCAGGAGUACGUAGCAAAGAGCUGUGUUGAGACCAUCACUGUGUGGCAGGAAUCUCCCAGGUUUCAUUUCAUGGCUCAUUGACAUCAAGCAUGCAAAGAACUUUCACAAGCAGUAUGAAGUCUUCCGUAGAGAUUUUUAACAGCAAUACAUAAAAGAGUUAAGAGCACUUAUUCUCUUUAUGCUACCAAAAAUUACUUGUUUUAUUUCCCCUGAUUUUUUGUUUGCUUUACAGAUACCUGUGAAAGAGAAAAGUUGUUUUAAAAUGGUCGGCUCAUUAAAAUUGUUGGUGAAAGUCAAGAAGUAGCCAAGUAAUAAUUUCUGAUUUUAUUUUCACUUGGCAGAGUCUACUGCUAUUUUUUCCAACUUAUCAUGUAUUUUUUUCCUUUAUAUGAAAAAAAUGUAAAUUCCAGAUGGUCACUUUUUGUUUAUCUGGAGAGAAUAUGCCUGUUUUUUGGUUUCUCUUCUUCUCAUUUAGUAAGCCAGAUUACUAGCUGCAAUUGCUAUAUGCAAAAUUUGUUGAAAAAACCCUAAGAACAGAUGGAGUCAUUUGACUUCAUAGGUUAUAGAUUCAUAUUUACUAAGAAUAAGAUUUUUCUCCCUAUUAGUAGUGUUUUAUUUUUUCAGUACCUUGUUUGGGGGCGGGGGAAGAACAACAGUUCUAAGUUCAUAAGAGAGAACUAUAUAAAAAAGGAGUAAGAAAUAUUUGACAUUUUUUUAAUUAAAAAAAUUGUUUUUAAUGUUUUUUAAUUUUAAUUUUGAUUGAGAGAGACAGAAUACUAGUGGGGCAGGGGAAGAGAAAGAGAAUCCAAAGCAGGCUCCAGGCUCUGAGCUGUGAGCACAGAACCCAAGGUGGGGCUCAAACCCACGGACCAUGAGAUCAUGACCUGAGCCGAAGUUGGAUACUUAACCGACUGAGCCACCCAGGUGCCCUGGCAUUUUAAUACAGAAUAUGGGAACUAGGAAUAAUUUAUAUAAUCCUUACAUUUUUCCCAGUAAAAUUCGUUUUUAUUUAUUUUUUUAUUCGGUUAUAUUUCAACACCUAAUGCAAAUGUAAGAUAUUCCACUGCUUACAAGAAGGUAGACUGAUAGAAAAUUAAUUGUAAUCCAGUGUGACAAAUGUUCUAAUCAUUUCUUGCAAGCAGCAAAAGAAGAAGGAGCCACUCAAUGCCUAGAGAACUUGAACUGACUUUUCAGUUGGUUUUAAUACAAUAGAAAAAGGAGUUUGCCAGACCGAGAAUGAGUGAGAAUAUUCCAGUGGAAGGUCCAGCAGGCACAAAAACAUAAAAUGUGAGAGAAUAUUCACAAAUGCUGAAGACAAGAUCGAUGAAAGGUUACUUGGGAUGGAUAAUGAAAAUCUUUCCAGCCCUUGCUAAGAAAUGGGAAUCUUGCCUGAGUCCACCAGGCUGUGGUCUAUGUGUGCUUUUGGCUACAGAAAGCCUGACUUCUAGAGUUGGCUUUUACUUUAUUUCAACUCUGAUCUGUCCCUUAGCUCUCCACAUCCUUCAAGUUCUACAGUGUUAAGAUGAUGACAUGAGAUAAAUAUCAGUUGGAAGAAAAGGGCUAAUAUCAAAGGCAAAGGGCACAGUAGAACAAUUUUAACAUAAAAAUACAUACAUUCUAAAGAAGAUCACAUUUGCUUUUCCGAUGAGAAAUACAUUUGUUUUCUAUUUAUUAUGAA